AGUCGAGCGGAUGAGAAGAGCUUGCUCUUCGAUUCAGCGGCGGACGGGUGAGUCAUGUCAAGGAAUCUGCCUGGUAGUGGGGGACAACGUUUCGAAACGAUCGCUAAUACCGCAUACGUCCUACGGGAGAAAGCAGGGGACCUUCGGGCCUUGCGCUAUCAGAUGAGCCUAGGUCGGAUUAGCUAGUUGGUGGGGUAAAGGCUCACCAAGGCGACGAUCCGUAACUGGUCUGAGAGGAUGAUCAGUCACACUGGAACUGAGACACGGUCCAGACUCCUACGGGAGGCAGCAGUGGGGAAUAUUGGACAAUGGGCGAAAGCCUGAUCCAGCCAUGCCGCGUGUGUGAAGAAGGUCUUCGGAUUGUAAAGCACUUUAAGUUGGGAGGAAGGGCAUUAACCUAAUACGUUAGUGUUUUGACGUUACCGACAGAAUAAGCACCGGCUAACUCUGUGCCAGCAGCCGCGGUAAUACAGAGGGUGCAAGCGUUAAUCGGAAUUACUGGGCGUAAAGCGCGCGUAGGUGGUUCGUUAAGUUGGAUGUGAAAUCCCCGGGCUCAACCUGAGAACUGCAUCCAAAACUGGCGAGCUAGAGUAUGGUAGAGGGUGGUGGAAUUUCCUGUGUAGCGGUGAAAUGCGUAGAUAUAGGAAGGAACACCAGUGGCGAAAGCGACCACCUGGACUGAUACUGACACUGAGGUGCGAAAGCGUGGGGAGGCAAACAGAUUAGAUACCCUGGUAGUCCACGCCGUAAACGAUGUCAACUAGCCGUUGGGGGUCCUUGAGACUUUAGUGGGGCAACUAACGCAUUAAGUUGACCGCCGGGGGAGGACGGGCCGCAGGGGUAAA
rnacentral:rRNA from 1 species